GUCAGCACCCCCGACUGAAGCACGGGGGCUUCGUGCCCCCCUUUCAGGUAGCUGACCAGCUUAAGCCUUAACUGGCUCCGUUCAGAGCAAGAGUUAAAGUUCCUACCCUGGAAUGCGUGCUAGUUCCAGGCUCAUGAA
rnacentral:sRNA from 18 species